rnacentral:lncRNA from 1 species
GAAAAGUUUUAUACUCCUACAACAAUACAAUCUUUAACAUUGCCACCAGCGAUAUUUGGAAGAAGAAAUAUUCUUGGAGCUGCUGAAAAAGGCAGUGGGAAAACUUAAGCAUUUGGUAUUCCUCUAUUUUAAAUGGCAUAUUAGAAUUAAAGAAAAAACAUUUAUACACACAGAAAACAAGAUGAUGGAUUAGAAAAUGAAAGCAAUGAGGAAGAAUUGGAAUGUUCCAACGAUGAAGUAGAUAGAAACUGAAAGAUUCUGCUAAGAAGUAUGACGAAUAAAGAAGAGCAUAGUACGACGUUGUAAGAGAUGAUUUUGUUAGGAAAUAAGACGUUAAAAGAAAAAAACACGACGAUUAUUAAUUAUUGAUUUGGACAGUUAUAGACAAUUACGAUUUUUUCCCCUAUCAAAUUAUAUCUUUAAAUAAAUCUAUAUAGUAAUAUAUAUGUUAUAGUCCAAGUGGGAAAUGCCGCAAUUAUGAGCAAUUCCAGGCGUUUUUAGGCGACGUAGAAAACAGGAGAAUUGCGCUUUUCCUAAGCAUUGUACAUAAUGCUUACUUAGAUAUUCUAUAGAACACCAAAUGCAAUUUAAGCAAUGUUGAGAAGAAUACAUUAUCGGGCAACAUACAUCAUGCCGCCCGUCACACUCGACCACACCAAAAUCAAACACACACAACGCAAAAGCGGGUGUUUUCAGAACAACUUUAGUCGCUUUCCGCGCAAGAUAUGUUAAUUUCCUAAGUCAAUGAGCCUCGUGGGCGUCAGUAUGUUCGUAUGACUAUCCAAUGAGGAACAAAGUUCGUAUAUUCUGAAAACUGUUCGUUGUGGAAAGGAAGUAACUUGUCAGGGAAGUGGGGGCAGGAAUAGGUUUAUAAAGAAGAUCAGGAAGCAAACCAAGUCACUUUCGUUUGCCCUGUUGAAUCUUGUGUUUGUGUUUCUCGUUAAUAAAUGUGUAUCUGCUUUACGUAAAA